AGGAGUAGAGCUUGAAUAGUUAAGUAGUUCAUUUACAUUGAAAAAAUAAUCGUGCGAUUCGAUUUACUCUUA
rnacentral:tRNA from 1 species